UACGAAGGGGGCUAGCGUUGUUCGGAAUUACUGGGCGUAAAGCGCACGUAGGCGGAUUGUUAAGUGAGGGGUGAAAUCCCAGGGCUCAACCCUGGAACUGCCUUUCAUACUGGCAAUCUAGAGUCCGGAAGAGGUGAGUGGAAUUCCGAGUGUAGAGGUGAAAUUCGUAGAUAUUCGGAGGAACACCAGUGGCGAAGGCGGCUCACUGGUCCGGUACUGACGCUGAGGUGCGAAAGCGUGGGGAGCAAACAGGAUUAGAAACCCGUGUAGUCC
rnacentral:rRNA from 1 species